rnacentral:lncRNA from 1 species
UUGGUUUCUUUGUCAUGGAGAUAUAUUCCAUUUGAAUGGAAUGUUUGCUUUUUUUUUUAUUAUUUUUAUUAUUCCAAAAAGCCAUGAUGCAAUUUGAUUUUAAAGAAAAUGGAAAAGGUGAUGUUAAGCUAAAACAAAGGCACGGUAAUGAGUUUUAUUUCUUUUAUUUAUUUAAAAAGCAUUAGCGUCAAUUAUUAAUGGUAGGGUCGGUGCCUCAGCACAUUUUCAAGUUUGGAUAAGUACUUUCACGGUAAGCAGGAGGUGUCACAGUGUGAUUAAUUUUUACUUUUUGUUUUUAUUUAAUUUUAAUCUUUAUUUUAAAAUGUUUUUUUUCUUUUAUUUAUUUACCUUGUUUAUGUUUCUAAGCCUAUUUUACCUUAGAUAGAAUGUGGGAAUUUUUAAAUGCUGCUAGGUUAUUUUCUUUACACUAGUAAAAAAUCGAUCUUUUACCGCGCACAUUAUGCCGCGGUUCAAUAGAAACCGAAGC